GGAACAUCUUGUCGGUUGAUGAGCUGACCGAGCUGGCCACCAAAAACCCAAAUCUAGCGAGGGCUUUAAUCAAGAAAUUUGUAGAUCUUAAUGACGAUGAUUUCAUAUCAACAGAGGAAAUAUUCAAACCAGAGUUGGAGGACUGAUUUUUAUGUUGGAUGGGGGCGUUGUCACCCUUUACAAGCAUGGCGUCCGUUCAUUUUGUCGGCUCCAAAAAAUUUUAUAUUCUUUUGAUUUUCAGUUUAAAAGGAUAAGAUUUGGAUAAUCCCCAAUGUGUUGUAGAUCCUCCCAAAAAUUUUUGAUGACGCUGGUUUUUGUGAGUGUGUAGGCUGUGUGAUUCGCUCGGCUUGGUAAAAAAAAAUAACUGGUUGUGUGGUCAGAUGGACUUAAAGUUAAGUCAGAAAAUAAAAUCCAGAAAUCAUUGAAGUCAAUAUCAUUGUUUAACUCGUAACUUAUUAUCAUAUUAAAAUACGUCAAACUUUGUAACGAAAGAAAGACUUAAGUGUCUUUCAAAAUAAGCUUUGUGUCUAAAGUACUUUUAAAAAUGAAGAAAUUGAAAAUGAACUCUGUUAAAAAUAUAUUUGUUGGUAAUAAAUUAAAUGACGUCAUGAAUAGAGGGAGGUUUUCGCCCCUGAAUGAAACAAAUAAAUCUAUUUAUAUCGCUAAA